rnacentral:piRNA from 1 species
UGGACUUCAGAGUGGGGUUUUUUAAA